UGGGGAAUUUUGCACAAUGGGGGAAACCCUGAUGCAGCGACGCCGCGUGAUUUAGAAGGCCUUCGGGUUGUAAAAAUCUUUUCUAUGGGAAGAAAAUGACAGUACCAUAGGAAUAAGGACCGGCUAAUUACGUGCCAGCAGCCGCGGUAAUACGUAAGGUCCGAGCGUUGUCCGGAAUCAUUGGGCGUAAAGGGUACGUAGGCGGGUAAGCAAGUUAGAAGUGAAAUCCUAUAGCUCAACUAUAGUAAGCUUUUAAAACUGCUCAUCUUGAGGUAUGGAAGGGAAAGUGGAAUUCCUAGUGUAGCGGUGAAAUGCGCAGAUAUUAGGAGGAAUACCGGUGGCGAAGGCGACUUUCUGGCCAUAACCAGACGCUGAGAUACGAAAGCGUGGGUAGCAAACAGG
rnacentral:rRNA from 1 species